rnacentral:rRNA from 1 species
UACGUAGGGGGGCAAGCGUUGUCCGGAAUCAUUGGGCGUAAAGAGCGUGUAGGCGGUCCGGUAAGUCCGCUGUGAAAGUCGGGGGCUCAACCCUCGAAUGCCGGUGGAUACUGUCGGGCUAGAGUGCGGAAGAGGCGAGUGGAAUUCCUGGUGUAGCGGUGAAAUGCGCAGAUAUCAGGAGGAACACCUAUUGCGAAGGCAGCUCGCUGGGACGUAACUGACGCUGAGACGCGAAAGCGUGGGGAGCAAACAGG